rnacentral:lncRNA from 1 species
AACGGUGGGGACCUAAAUUGUGGUCCCCACGGGUACAAAAGCUUAUAAAUCAUACAGAAUGUCACACACACUCACACUCAUACACACUCUCACACACACACACACACACUCACACUCAUACACACUCUCUCUCACACACACACACACACACACACUCACACUCAUACACACUCUCUCUCACACACACACACACACACACACUCACACUCAUACACACUCUCUCUCACACACACACACACACACACACUCACACUCAUACACACUCUCUCUCACACACACACACACACACACACUCACACUCAUACACACUCUCUCUCACACACACACACACACACACACUCACACUCAUACACACUCUCUCUCACACACACACACACACACACACUCACACUCAUACACACUCUCUCUCACACACACACACACACACACACUCACACUCAUACACACUCUCUCUCACACACACACACACACACACACUCACACUCAUACACACUCUCUCUCACACACACACACACACACACACUCACACUCAUACACACUCUCUCUCACACACACACACACACACACACUCACACUCAUACACACUCUCUCUCACACACACACACACACACACACUCACACUCAUACACACUCUCUCUCACACACACACACACACACACACUCACACUCAUACACACUCUCUCUCACACACACACACACACACACACUCACACUCAUACACACUCUCUCUCACACACACACACACACACACACUCACACUCAUACACACUCUCUCUCACACACACACACACACACACACUCACACUCAUACACACUCUCUCUCACACACACACACACACACACACUCACACUCAUACACACUCUCUCUCACACACACACACACACACACACUCACACUCAUACACACUCUCUCUCACACACACACACACACACACACUCACACUCAUACACACUCUCUCUCACACACACACACACACACACACUCACACUCAUACACACUCUCUCUCACACACACACACACACACACACUCACACUCAUACACACUCUCUCUCACACACACACACACACACACACUCACACUCAUACACACUCUCUCUCACACACACACACACACACACACUCACACUCAUACACACUCUCUCUCACACACACACACACACACACACUCACACUCAUACACACUCUCUCUCACACACACACACACACACACACUCACACUCAUACACACUCUCUCUCACACACACACACACACACACACUCACACUCAUACACACUCUCUCUCACACACACACACACACACACACUCACACUCAUACACACUCUCUCUCACACACACACACACACAC